AAAGUCACGGCUAACUACGUGCCAGCAGCCGCGGUAAUACGUAGGUGGCAAGCGUUAUCCGGAUUUAUUGGGCGUAAAGAGAGUGCAGGCGGUUUUCUAAGUCUGAUGUGAAAGCCUUCGGCUUAACCGGAGAAGUGCAUCGGAAACUGGAUAACUUGAGUGCAGAAGAGGGUAGUGGAACUCCAUGUGUAGCGGUGGAAUGCGUAGAUAUAUGGAAGAACACCAGUGGCGAAGGCGGCUACCUGGUCUGCAACUGACGCUGAGACUCGAAAGCAUGGGUAGCGAACAGGAUUAGAUACCCUGGUAGUCCAUGCCGUAAACGAUGAGUGCUAGGUGUUGGAGGGUUUCCGCCCUUCAGUGCCGGAGCUAACGCAUUAAGCACUCCGCCUGGGGAGUACGACCGCAAGGUUGAAACUCAAAGGAAUUGACGGGGGCCCGCACAAGCGGUGGAGCAUGUGGUUUAAUUCGAAGCUACGCGAAGAACCUUACCAGGUCUUGACAUCUUGCGCCAACCCUAGAGAUAGGGCGUUUCCUUCGGGAACGCAAUGACAGGUGGUGCAUGGUCGUCGUCAGCUCGUGUCGUGAGAUGUUGGGUUAAGUCCCGCAACGAGCGCAACCCUUGUUACUAGUUGCCAGCAUUAAGUUGGGCACUCUAGUGAGACUGCCGGUGACAAACCGGAGGAAGGUGGGGACGACGUCAGAUCAUCAUGCCCCUUAUGACCUGGGCUACACACGUGCUACAAUGGACGGUACAACGAGUCGCGAACUCGCGAGGGCAAGCAAAUCUCUUAAAACCGUUCUCAGUUCGGACUGCAGGCUGCAACUCGCCUGCACGAAGUCGGAAUCGCUAGUAAUCGCGGAUCAGCAUGCCGCGGUGAAUACGUUCCCGGGCCUUGUACACACCGCCCGUCACACCAUGAGAGUUUGUAACACCCAAAGUCGGUGGGGUAACCUUUUAGGAGCCAGCCGCCUAAGGUGGGACAG
rnacentral:rRNA from 2 species